rnacentral:lncRNA from 1 species
CCGAUCCAAAUCUACACCAACACAUGUUAUGAGUAUCUUAUUUCAUGCCUUCACCUUACACUAUAAUACACAUACAAUUAGAAUAAAUCACUUUUUGAUAAUGCUGAUUCACGUUAAAAAACCAAAACCAUAAAUUUGAUUUUAUGAGGUAGAGGGAUGAACAUAAUUCUGGGUAUUUCUGGAACCAUGACGUUCACCUCUCCGAUUCUGGAACCAUCAACAACAACCUUACCAAGCACAUCCAAAUGGAAUAAAGUUGAAGAAAAAGGAAUGAAGAAGUUUAUGGUUUUCUGGAUUUGAUCUAGGAAUAAAGAAGAAAAGGGUAAAACUUAGAUUCUAAGUUGAUGAUGAAGAAGAAAUAGUAGUUUGUUUUUGUUGAAAAUAGAGGAAUGAUUUGGGAAUAUUUUUGCAGAGGAAGAGGGAGUAAGUGUACAGAAGAUAAGAGAUUAUUCUUUUUGUGCUGUGAGAGAUAAUUUUUUUUGCUGGA